AUUGAACGCUGGCGGCAUGCUUUACACAUGCAAGUCGAACGGCAGCGCGGGCUUCGGCCUGGCGGCGAGUGGCGAACGGGUGAGUAAUACAUCGGAACGUGCCCAGUAGUGGGGGAUAGCUCGGCGAAAGCCGGAUUAAUACCGCAUACGACCUGAGGGUGAAAGCGGGGGAUCUUCGGACCUCGCGCUAUUGGAGCGGCCGAUGGCAGAUUAGCUAGUUGGUGGGGUAAAGGCCUACCAAGGCGACGAUCUGUAGCUGGUCUGAGAGGACGACCAGCCACACUGGGACUGAGAAACGGCCCAGACUCCUACGGGAGGCAGCAGUGGGGAAUUUUGGACAAUGGGCGAAAGCCUGAUCCAGCAAUGCCGCGUGUGUGAUGAAGGCCUUCGGGUUGUAAAGCACUUUUGGCGGGAACGAAAGGGACUGUGCCAAUACCACGGUUCGAUGACGGUACCCGCAGAAUAAGCACCGGCUAACUACGUGCCAGCCGCCGCAGUAACAC
rnacentral:rRNA from 1 species